rnacentral:pre_miRNA from 1 species
CAACUACUCCCUCUGUCCCAAAUUUCUUGUCUUAGAUUUGUCUAGAUACAAAUGUAUCUAAUACUAAAAUGUGACUUGAUACAUCCGUAUCUAGACAAAUAUAAGACAAGAAUUUUGGGACGGAGGGAGUACUUU